rnacentral:rRNA from 1 species
UGCAGUCGAGCGGUAGCACAGAGAGCUUGCUCUCGGGUGACGAGCGGCGGACGGGUGAGUAAUGUCUGGGAAACUGCCUGAUGGAGGGGGAUAACUACUGGAAACGGUAGCUAAUACCGCAUAACGUCGCAAGACCAAAGUGGGGGACCUUCGGGCCUCAUGCCAUCAGAUGUGCCCAGAUGGGAUUAGCUAGUAGGUGGGGUAACGGCUCACCUAGGCGACGAUCCCUAGCUGGUCUGAGAGGAUGACCAGCCACACUGGAACUGAGACACGGUCCAGACUCCUACGGGAGGCAGCAGUGGGGAAUAUUGCACAAUGGGCGCAAGCCUGAUGCAGCCAUGCCGCGUGUAUGAAGAAGGCCUUCGGGUUGUAAAGUACUUUCAGCGGGGAGGAAGGCGAUAAGGUUAAUAACCUUGUCGAUUGACGUUACCCGCAGAAGAAGCACCGGCUAACUCCGUGCCAGCAGCCGCGGUAAUACGGAGGGUGCAAGCGUUAAUCGGAAUUACUGGGCGUAAAGCGCACGCAGGCGGUCUGUCAAGUCGGAUGUGAAAUCCCCGGGCUCAACCUGGGAACUGCAUUCGAAACUGGCAGGCUAGAGUCUUGUAGAGGGGGGUAGAAUUCCAGGUGUAGCGGUGAAAUGCGUAGAGAUCUGGAGGAAUACCGGUGGCGAAUGCGGCUCCCUGCACAAAGACUGACGCUCAGGUGCGAAAGCGUGGAGGAGCAAACACGAUUAGAUACCCUGGUAGUCCACGCCGUA